GAUGAACGCUGGCGGCGCGCCUAAUACAUGCAAGUCGAGCGAACAGACGAGGAGCUUGCUCCUCUGACGUUAGCGGCGGACGGGUGAGUAACACGUGGAUAACCUACCUAUAAGACUGGGAUAACUUCGGGAAACCGGAGCUAAUACCGGAUAAUAUAUUGAACCGCAUGGUUCAAUAGUGAAAGACGGUUUUGCUGUCACUUAUAGAUGGAUCCGCGCCGCAUUAGCUAGUUGGUAAGGUAACGGCUUACCAAGGCAACGAUGCGUAGCCGACCUGAGAGGGUGAUCGGCCACACUGGAACUGAGACACGGUCCAGACUCCUACGGGAGGCAGCAGUAGGGAAUCUUCCGCAAUGGGCGAAAGCCUGACGGAGCAACGCCGCGUGAGUGAUGAAGGUCCUCGGAUCGUAAAACUCUGUUAUUAGGGAAGAACAAAUGUGUAAGUAACUAUGCACGUCUUGACGGUACCUAAUCAGAAAGCCACGGCUAACUACGUG
rnacentral:rRNA from 1 species